rnacentral:tRNA from 1 species
AUCUGGCUGGCUCAGUUGGCAGAACAUGUGACUCUUGAUCCCAGGUUGUGGGUUUGAGCCCCAUGCUGGGUA